rnacentral:rRNA from 1 species
GCCUGUCUCCGCAUUCCCUGGAGCAGCUUGUCGUAGGACAACUCGGAAAGGUUCGGAUCCACCUUCACGUCGAAGAGGGUCUUGCGGGACUCGAUCGGCCGGCCCAAGAGAAACUCCGGCUCGAGCCCCCGCAUGAUGUCCCGCCGCCUGGCCAUCCCCAUGAGCUGGUACUUCUCGUCGAAGAUCAGGACCGCCCUCGGGAGGGAUUUUCGGCCGUCGAUCUCCACCUCCGACUUCUCCAGUUCCGCCGUUGCCUGGCGAAGGGUAAACCAGUAUGGGAGGUGCGGAUACUCAUCCAGGGGAAUCAUGAUGUCCCCUGCCCGUUUCAUCUCCAUCCCAGCACUCCUUUCCUUCCCUUUACACCCUCACGGACGAGACGCCCGUCAGUGGGUCU